rnacentral:lncRNA from 1 species
AGAGACAAUCCAAUGCAAACACAGAGUUUUAUAGUGGUUCGGAGCUACCCCUUGCUCCUACGUCCACUCCCCAAGUCUCUCUUGGGAAUUCACUAUAACCCCCUUGGAUUACAGCCGGUUGUUUUGCAAGCUCACAACCAAACUUGUUGUUUUACGAGCUCACAACGAACUCGGUCGGUUUUCCCAGGCUCACCGACUAGAACCAACCCCGAUUGUUUUCCCGGGCUCACAAUCAAACCCCUACACGCGUUGGUUUUUAACUUGGCUCACCAACCAACCUUAGUCCCCUUGAUUCAAUCCCCCGAUUGAACCAAGUAAAUACAAGUUAUAGAAAGAAGGGAAAAUAAGCUUCUCAAAAGCAGAUGUAAAACAAUAUAAUCAAAAGAGGAGUUUAGAAGCCCUCAAACGCUUUUAAGCUGAAGUAGAGGAAUGGCUUCUUGAACUCCGGUCUCCUCUCGAAUGUGUAGUCGACUUGAAUGCUGGAGGAGAAGGCUUUAAUUCCUGGGAAGAUGUAGGUGGAGCUGUAAAUGCAGAUCUUCCCUUUUUCGUUGAAGAGCACGUUGCAGAGCUUGAAUCCUUGAUUAGUUGGAGUGGAAUAACUGUUCUCUCUUUUGCUACAGUCUUCUGUGGCUAUUUAAGCCAACCCCCACGGAAACUAGCCGUUACACUGCUUUUUCUGCCCGUUCUGCACACUCUACGCAGCCUGACAAUAUGACCGUUGGUAGGUUGGAGUCGACUCGCGCGAUCAGGAGUCGACUCGGCUGUAGCGGGAGUCGACUCAAGCUUUUCCGGAGUCGACUCGGCAACUGUUCCAAAUUUGAAUUAAAGUUGCCGUCACGACUGGGAGUCGACUCGU